rnacentral:rRNA from 1 species
AUUGAACGCUGGCGGCAUGCUUUACACAUGCAAGUCGAACGGCAGCGCGGGCUUCGGCCUGGCGGCGAGUGGCGAACGGGUGAAUAAUACAUCGGAACGUGCCCAGUAGUGGGGGAUAGCUCGGCGAAAGCCGGAUUAAUACCGCAUACGACCUGAGGGUGAAAGCGGGGGAUCUUCGGACCUCGCGCUAUUGGAGCGGCCGAUGGCAGAUUAGCUAGUUGGUGGGGUAAAGGCCUACCAAGGCGACGAUCUGUAGCUGGUCUGAGAGGACGACCAGCCACACUGGGACUGAGACACGGCCCAGACUCCUACGGGAGGCAGCAGUGGGGAAUUUUGGACAAUGGGCGAAAGCCUGAUCCAGCAAUGCCGCGUGUGUGAUGAAGGCCUUCGGGUUGUAAAGCACUUUUGGCGGGAACGAAAAGGACUGUGCCAAUACCACGGUUCGAUGACGGUACCCGCAGAAUAAGCACCGGCUAACUACGUG